UUGGCGCGAUAUUUAAAUCGGAGAUAAAUAGGAUUACAUAAAUAUUUUUAGUAGUCUUAAGUGAUCGUGUUUAGUGUGUCCGUAUAAAAUAAAUUAGUUUUAAAGCACAAAAAUAGAACUAUUUUUGUGCAUCGAAUGUUUCAAUUCACACCUAACAAACGAAAGUAAUAUUACUACUUCUAGUUAAGGUUGCCAAGUCACAUGCUGAUGAUCUGGUACUAAAUGAACCAAUACAUCCUAGUGUGGUACCCACAUGUCUUAGUAGCUGUUUUUGUUGUUACCAAAUAAAAAAUCAAAAGUUAUAAUAUAUUCUAAGGCUCAUCAACUCAUUGAAGUUCUGACGAGGACCGAUCUUCUGGAGAAAAUCUAAAUAUGUUUGCGCCUCAUAGACCAUUGAGUCGCAGUAAAGGGCUAUCUAAUCAACCUCACUUUAAACCUAACGUACAUUUAACAUCCGACGCUUCAACUGUUCGCCAGCAUUCAAAUAGAAAAACUAUUUUCCAAAAUUUUUGUUUUAGGUGUUCAGGAAACUUCGCCCCUGCGUCCAAUCCAACGUCCAGGAAAAGGGUGAUUUAAAUAUUCAGUCACAUUUCUACUACUGUAGGGCGGAGCAUCGUCAUGUUGUAACCACACUUGUCUUGAUUAAAUUGGAACGUUCUCUAACAAACACAGGCUCACUUCUCGUGAAAGUGAAGCUGCCAAGAAUGGGAUGUAAUUUUAUCGGUGAACAAAAUGUUAUGAACCAAAUUACGACGUGCGGCUCGUUUCACAACUGCAUACGAAAGCUCAGGUCAGUGAGCUGCAGUGACUGGUUGCAGAUGAAAUUGGUACAAAUCAAAGUUAUGCAUUGUUCUCCACACAGUAAUGAUAUUUUGCGAAUAGUGUUACAUUUUGGGCAGCUGCUAGGGACGUAUAAUAGAAGCAUUUGGAAAUUAUCGUAUUGCUUAAAAACUCCUAUAUAUGACACUCUUUAGAGCAAAAAUUAUUAAGUAAAGGACUAAUUAAUGAUUGUAAUUAAUAUAGAAAUGAUUGUAAAGAAAAUAUAUGAUAAUAAAGAAAA
rnacentral:misc_RNA from 1 species